GGGGAUUUGGCUCAGUGGUAGAGCGCUUGCCUAGCAAGCACAAGGCCCUGGGUUCGGUCCCCAGCUCCG
rfam:Rattus norvegicus chromosome 2, whole genome shotgun sequence.